GCAACCUGCAAAUCAAAUUCUGCCUUUGAAGUACUGAGUGAAUCCCUGGGAUGGCUGAGGCCAGAGACUAUGGGCUGCUGAGGAGAGGCAGAAUAACAAUGGGGAGUGCUGCCCAGAGUUGGCUGAAUCCCGGUGACUUCCCAGAGUUUCCUCACCCAGAUUGUACCAGACAUCCAUCUCUCCACUGAGUGUCCGAACCUCAAUGAUGGUUUGACCAAGGAAAUCAUCAGACUCUCGCUUCAGUCGCUGUUUCACUCUGGAUUUGAUGUCAUCGUCCUCAUCCCACACACGUACCUUGAUGCGAUCGGAAGAGUUGUGGCACUCACUGUGAAAGAAGCAGUUAUAGAUUCUUUCUCCUCAACACCUUGCUCCCUCAUACAUGAGAUGCUACCUCCUCGUGCUUUCCCCACGGUCUCCGUAAGCUUUAGCUUGCUUACCAGUGAUGGUAAUUU